rnacentral:rRNA from 1 species
AUUGAACGCUGGCGGCAUGCUUUACACAUGCAAGUCGAACGGUAGAGGGGGCAACCCCUUGAGAGUGGCGAACGGGUGAGUAAUGCAUCGGAACGUGCCCAGUCGUGGGGGAUAACGCAGCGAAAGCUGUGCUAAUACCGCAUACGAUCUCUGGAUGAAAGCGGGGGACCGAAAGGCCUCGCGCGAUUGGAGCGGCCGAUGUCAGAUUAGGUAGUUGGUGGGGUAAGGCCUACCAAGCCAACGAUCUGUAGCUGGUCUGAGAGGACGACCAGCCACACUGGGACUGAGACACGGCCCAGACUCCUACGGGAGGCAGCAGUGGGGAAUUUUAGGCAAUGGGCGCAAGCCUGAUCCAGCAAUGCCGCGUGCAGGAAGAAGGCCUUCGGGUUGUAAACUGCUUUUGUACGGAACGAAACGGUCUGGGUUAAUACCCUGGGCUAAUGACGGUACCGUAAGAAUAAGCACCGACUAACUACGUGCCAGCCGCCGCGGUAA